GUCUACGGCCAUACCACCCUGAACGCGCCCGAUCUUGUCUGAUCUCGGAAGCUAAGCAGGGUCGGGCCUGGUUAGUACUUGGAUGGGAGAAGAGUUGUGUUGUAUAUU
ensembl:rRNA 5S_rRNA 5S ribosomal RNA